UACGUAGGGUGCAAGCGUUGUCCGGAAUUAUUGGGCGUAAAGAGCUCGUAGGCGGUCUGUCGCGUCGGCUGUGAAAACCCGGGGCUCAACCCCGGGCCUGCAGUCGAUACGGGCAGACUAGAGUGCGGUAGGGGAGACUGGAAUUCCUGGUGUAGCGGUGAAAUGCGCAGAUAUCAGGAGGAACACCAGUGGCGAAGGCGAGUCUCUGGACAUUUCCUGACGCUGAGGCACGAAAGCGUGGGGAGCAAACAGG
rnacentral:rRNA from 1 species